rnacentral:rRNA from 1 species
AGCAGUGGGGAAUUUUCCGCAAUGGGCGAAAGCCUGACGGAGCAAUGCCGCGUGGAGGUAGCGGCCCCUGGGUCAUUAACUUCUUUUCCCGGAGAAGAAAAAAUGACGGUAUCCGGGGAAUAAGCAUCGGCUAACUCUGUGCCAGCAGCCGCGGUAAGACAGAGGAUGCAAGCGUUAUCCGGAAUGAUUGGGCGUAAAGCGUCUGUAGGUGGCUUUUUAAGUUCGCUGUCAAAUCCCAGGGCUCAACCCUGGACAGGUGGUGAAAACUACUAAGCUAGAGUACGGUAGGGGCAGAGGGAAUUUCCGGUGGAGCGAUGAAAUGCGUAGAGAUCGGAAGGAACACCAACGGCGAAAGCACU